rnacentral:rRNA from 1 species
AGCAGUCGCCACGGUAAUACAGAGGGUGCGAGCGUUAAUCGGAUUUACUGGGCGUAAAGCGUGCGUAGGCGGCUUUUUAAGUCGGAUGUGAAAUCCCUGAGCUUAACUUAGGAAUUGCAUUCGAUACUGGGAAGCUAGAGUAUGGGAGAGGAUGGUAGAAUUCCAGGUGUAGCGGUGAAAUGCGUAGAGAUCUGGAGGAAUACCGAUGGCGAAGGCAGCCAUCUGGCCUAAUACUGACGCUGAGGUACGAAAGCAUGGGGAGCAAACAGGAUUAGAUACCCCGGUAGUCCCUGUCUCUUAUAA